rnacentral:rRNA from 1 species
UACAGAGGUCUCAAGCGUUGUUCGGAUUCAUUGGGCGUAAAGGGUGCGUAGGCGGCGCGUUAAGUCGGGUGUGAAAUCUCGGAGCUUAACUCCGAAACUGCAUUCGAUACUGCCGUGCUUGAGGACUGGAGAGGAGACUGGAAUUUACGGUGUAGCGGUGAAAUGCGUAGAUAUCGUAAGGAAGACCAGUGGCGAAGGCGGGUCUCUGGACAGUUCCUGACGCUGAGACACGAAGGCCAGGGGAGCAAACAGG